GAUGAACGCUAGCGGGAGGCCUAACACAUGCAAGCCGAGCGGUAUUGUUUCUUCGGAAAUGAGAGAGCGGCGUACGGGUGCGUAACACGUGUGCAACCUGCCUUUAUCUGGGGGAUAGCCUUUCGAAAGGAAGAUUAAUACUCCAUAAUAUAUUGAACGGCAUCGUUUAAUAUUGAAAGCUCCGGCGGAUAGUGAUGGGCACGCGCAAGAUUAGCUAGUUGGUGAGGUAACGGCUCACCAAGGCGAUGAUCUUUAGGGGGCCUGAGAGGGUGAUCCCCCACAACGGUACUGAGACACGGACCAGACUCCUACGGGAGGCAGCAGUGAGGAAUAUUGGUCAAUGGGUGCAAGCCUGAACCAGCCAUCCCGCGUGAAGGACGACUGCCCUAGGGGUUGUAAACUUCUUUUGUAUAGGGAUAAACCUACCCUCGAGAGGGUAGCUGAAGGUACUAUACGAAUAAGCACCGGCUAACUCCGUG
rnacentral:rRNA from 1 species